CAACUACUCCCUCUGUCCCAAAUUUCUUGUCUUAGAUUUCUCUAGAUACAGAUGUACCUGUGACUUGAUACAUCCAUAUCUAGACAAAUCUAAGACAAGAAUUUUGGGACGGAGGGAGUACUUU
rfam:Triticum aestivum genome assembly, contig: Triticum_aestivum_CS42_TGACv1_scaffold_500274_6BL